GUCGGGAAUCUUGCACAAUGGGCGAAAGCCUGAUGCAGCAACGCCGCGUGGGUGAAGAAGGCCUUCGGGUUGUAAAGCCCUGUUGCCUGCGACGAAGGGUCCGGGGAGGAAAUGCCCUGGGUAUGACGGUAGCAGGCGAGGAAGCCCCGGCAAACUACGUGCCAGCAGCCGCGGUAAUACGUAGGGGGCGAGCGUUGUCCGGAAUUAUUGGGCGUAAAGGGCGUGUAGGCGGCCUGUUAAGUCAGGGGUGAAAACCCGGGGCUCAACUUCGGGGUUGCCCUUGAAACUGGCGGGCUUGAGUGCUCUAGAGGGCAGUGGAAUUCCCGGUGUAGCAGUGAAAUGCGUAGAGAUCGGGAGGAACACCAGUGGCGAAGGCGGCUGCCUGGGGAGUAACUGACGCUGAGGCGCGAAAGCUAGGGGAGCAAACAGGAUUAGAUACCCUAGUAGUCC
rnacentral:rRNA from 1 species